GACGAACGCUGGCGGCGUGCUUAACACAUGCAAGUCGAACGAUGAAGCCGGAGCUUGCUCUGGUGAAUUAGUGGCGAACGGGUGAGUAACACGUGAGUAACCUGCCCUUGACUCUGGGAUAACUGCUAGAAAUGGUAGCUAAUACCGGAUACGACCCUCGGAGGCAUCUCCAGGGGGUGGAAAGAAUUUCGGUCAAGGAUGGACUCGCGGCCUAUCAGCUAGUUGGUGAGGUAAUGGCUCACCAAGGCGACGACGGGUAGCCGGCCGGAGAGGGUGACCGGCCACACUGGGACUGAGACACGGCCCAGACUCCUACGGGAGGCAGCAGUGGGGAAUAUUGCACAAUGGGCGCAAGCCUGAUGCAGCAACGCCGCGUGAGGGAUGACGGCCUUCGGGUUGUAAACCUCUUUUAGUAGGGAAGAAGCGAAAGUGACGGUACCUGCAGAAAAAGCACCGGCUAACUACGUGCCAGCCGCCGCCGUAA
rnacentral:rRNA from 1 species